UCAGACGAUGCGUCAUGCAUAUCAAUAAGCGGAGGAAAAGAAACUAACAAGGAUUCCCCUAGUAACGGCGAGUGAAGCGGGAAGAGCUCAAAUUUGAAAUCUUAAAUGGGUUUCCCUUUACGAAUUGUAGUUUAAAGAAGUGUUUUCUGUUGAGGUUUUGGUAAAAGUUCUUUGGAAUAGGACAUCAUAGAGGGUGAGAAUCCCGUAUUUGACCUUUACUUUCAACUUUGUGAUACACUUUCAAAGAGUCGGAUUGUUUGGGAAUGCAGUCCAAAAUGGGUGGUAAAUUUCAUCUAAAGCUAAAUAUUGGCGAGAGACCGAUAGCGAACAAGUACCGUGAGGGAAAGAUGAAAAGAACUUUGAAAAGAGAGUUAAACAGUACGUGAAAUUGUCAAAAGGGAAGCGUUUGACACCAGUGUUGUUUUUCUGAAAAUCAAUUAAAGAACUGUUUAUGCUAAGCUGUUUAGACUUUAUCAGCUAUCUGUUUAGUUUUGAGCUUUUCUUUAAUGCACUUUUCAGUUAACAAGUCAACAUCAAUUUCUUUUGCUGUAAAAAAGCUUGAGGAAGGUGGCUUGAGAUUCGUCUUAAGUGUUUAUAGCCUCUUGCCUAUGCAGUCGGAGAGAUUGAGGUCUGCAGCGUAGAUCCUUCGGGGCUAAAUGCAUUUGUGCUAAGUUAUAGCAUUUUAUAGACAACUUGUUGACUAUGAUUUGUCUUGUAGCUUACUCGCUUAUGUUAUUUUACCUACGCUUAGGAUGUUGACACACGCGCGUGCUCG
rnacentral:rRNA from 1 species